AACGAACGCUGGCGGCAGGCCUAACACAUGCAAGUCGUACGACCUAGCAAUAGGGAGUGGCAGACGGGUGAGUAACGCGUGGGAACGUGCCUUUCGGUUCGGAAUAACUCAGGGAAACUUGAGCUAAUACCGGAUACGCCCUUCGGGGGAAAGAUUUAUUGCCGAAAGAUCGGCCGGCGUCCGAUUAGCUCUUUGGUGAGGUAAAGGCUUACCAAGGCGACGAUCGGUAGCUGGUCUGAGAGGAUGAUCAGCCACACUGGGACUGAGACACGGCCCAGACUCCUACGGGAGGCAGCAGUGGGGAAUAUUGGACAAUGGGCGCAAGCCUGAUCCAGCCAUGCCGCGUGAGUGAUGAAGGCCCUAGGGUUGUAAAGCUCUUUCGCCAGGGACGAUAAUGACGGUACCUGGAUAAGAAGCCCCGGCUAACUUCGUGCCAGCCGCCGCGGUAA
rnacentral:rRNA from 1 species